UUCUUGAUUUCUUAUUAAUUUACCUGUGUGAUUAUCAGUGAGCAAUUCAAAUAAGGAAAUGGUGCGGUCCUAGAGUUGAAGGUGCUGGCAAAGAUACACUGCAGGACUUAAUGCAGAGACUGCCUGUUUUGUCUGUGUCCAAGUUAGCCCCCCAGGUCUUCCAGAGAAUAAACAGAUAACUGAAAUUGCUUCCUUUGAUGACCCAUUUGUCUGCCCAAGGGCAAAAAUCCCCAGACAACCUUCUGGCUGGCUGCCAGCUGAUCAGCAUUUUACCCAAAGCAUGAAAUCAAAAGUAGCUCAGUUUUUUGUUUGUUUGUUUAUUUUUGUCUCCUCUCAUUCUUUCUCAUAUUUAAGUCAUUUAUUUUGUUGUUAGAGGAACAAUAAAUAAAACAAUUUAUUAUUGUUUUCCCUCAUGCAUAAUUAAAUAGUAUGCUAAUAACUUUACUGUAUGUCCUUUGAGUUAUUCUUUGACUCUCAUUCUGAGGCUCCACUGUGAUAACACCCACCAUAGAAAUGUGUAGAUUAAAGUGCACCUGGAUCUUGUCUGGACCAGGACCCCUUGGGUCCUUGGCUCAUCUUCUCUUGGCUCCUGUGAUAAGGCUAGUGUGGAGUGUGGAGACUGGCCUCUCUGGCUCUCACAUGCUAAACUGAUGCCUGGUCUCACCCGUUUCUGCUUCUGGUUCUUGGCUCUGGUUGAACAGAGUGAGUUGAAUUUACCCUGGUGGCAACAAUGGUGGCAUCUGAGUUUCAAUUCUACGACCUAACUUAAGUGAUUUCUGUCAGUGGCAGUUGAUAAGAAUCAGUAGUCUAAUGUCCAUGACCCUUCUUUGCUUGUAUGCCUGAGGAUUGUUAUUGUUCCUGGCACUUGAGUGCAAAGUUGAAGAGCUUUUGGUGUUUUUCUUCCUACUAAUAAUGUUCUCUCUGUUUAUGUGUUCUGAUUUGUGUCAAUUUGGCUUCCUCUGACCCUCAUGCUCAGAGCCUUUUUCCUUCUUUCAAAAUUCUCAUCAUUUUUCAUGUACAUUUAUUAUGAUCCUAAUCAGGCCAAUAUCUGCUAAGUUAAAAUUCUUGCACCAAAAAUUAAAAGGAAGCUAAAGCCCUUA
rnacentral:lncRNA from 1 species